GCAAGCCGCAGCAGUAGGGCUCAGAUGAGGAGCCCAGUAUCCUUAGCAUUGAUUGGCCUGUGACCCUAUCCCUCCAGACUCCCCCGUAUAAAUUUGAGGACCCUGCUUUUGGCUUCUGUGCAGUUUUGCAUUACGCUACUUUGUUUCAACUUCAAGCCAUUGGUUUGUGCCCUACUCUCUGCUGCAGGAGAAGAAAGCCAGCCUUUCAGGAUGGGAACUCCUUGCCUUUCCAAAAGCAGUACUUUGUGGGACACGGCAAAGGAUUUCCGGUGGCAAAGGUCAGGGGUUAGGUGCAGGCCUUCCCAUCCCAAGAUGA